rnacentral:tRNA from 1 species
AAGGGUGGAGCUCAGUGGUAGAGCGCAUGCUUAGCAUGCAUGAGGUCCUGGGUUCAGUUCUCAGUACCUCCA